GGCGAUGAAGGACGUAGUAGCUUGCGAUAAGCUGCGGGGAGCUAGCAAACAAGCUUUGAUCCGCAGAUUUCCGAAUGGGGAAACCCACCCUUUUAGGGUAUCACUCACUGAAUACAUAGGUGUGUGAAGCGAACGCGGCGAACUGAAACAUCUAAGUAGCUGCAGGAAAAUAAAUCAACCGAGAUUCCCAAAGUAGUGGCGAGCGAAAUGGGAAGAGCCUGUACGUGAUAGUCGGACUGAUAG
rnacentral:rRNA from 1 species